UGUACAUGACCAAGCAGGGUAUUUUUUUCUAAGCGUUGGCAAUUUACCAUCUAAGAACGUCUCGUUGCGUGAACCAUGCUGACAAGGUGGAUUGGUUGAGCUUCUUGCAAACACAUGUACGCCACAACAGCUGUUUAGCGUCGAAAUAAUAAGAGUUACAACCCCUAAUUUAGAAUGUUAUGGUUUUCUUCAGGCCGUUAACAUAUAACUUCACCGUGACCAAGGUGUGUACGCUCGCUUAAGAAUCGAGAGGUCUGGAGUUCAAAUCCCAGUUCCAGAGGCAGUUGUAAAUUAUUCCACUGAGUAGAGUAGACGUACAUACAUAUUUCACGUGAACGUGCUUUAUUUCAUUAUGUGAUGAAUAUGUACCGAUACUGAAUUUGGAUUAAUAUCAUAUAUCUGUAAUUAAAAAUCGCAACAUGUUUCACAAUUAAGGAUAUCCGUACCGUUUUCUUCUCUAGUUAUAUGCGUUGCAUUUUUCACGGUUUACUUUCAAGUUUGUGUAAUAGAUUUACAGUAGUACUAUAUAUACAUCAGUUCGAGUGAUUGAAAUAACAAUUUUGUAUUGUUAUAUACUAGUCAAUGUAGUCUAUACCAUAAAUAAAAGGAUGGAAAAUGUGUGAACUAUUAACCAAACAGUCGCUAGAGUAAUAAAUGAUUCAUUUAUCACAUUUUCAAUUAAACGAAAACUUGUUGUUUUGCAUAGUAUUUCAACCCUUAUUGUUCUAGGAGUUACAGAUUCUAGCCAUGCGACCAGACGAGGCGGCACACUGUGUCGUUAGCUUAUUGACUUUCAGUCAAUGCACAUAGUGAAAUGUUCACUGAAAUAAUGAAUGUUUUAUCCGGAGAUUGGACAAGUCGAUAUAAGAUAUUUAGCAUGGAAGGGAUUAUCAGCAUAACAGUCAACAAAUGUAAAAUUUAACCGAUGGAAGUAUUUGCGGACAAAAUUACAGAAGAUCAUACAAGACAAAAAACAUCAAAUUCAAUUCAAAUAUAAUGUUUUCGUCUCUUCACAUGUACAUCACAAUCAAAAUUGAAUAAAAACUGGUAAAAGUACAUAUGCCCUUCAAUACAGAAUUAUAUGAGACGUGUAAGCAAAGCUUACUAAAAGUCAUAUUUACAUUCUUAUAUUAUUAUAUACAAUACACACAUUACAGUAAAUGUAUUGGGAAUGUUGUGAAACUAUCAUUUUGUCUAAAAGUCUAUAUAUAAAACAAUUCACUAGUCUGUUUAUGAAAUUACAAAUCAAAAAAUACUAGAAUGUACAAAAUACACUUAAAAACCUAUUAAAAACAUUACUCCUAACCAAUAAAAUAAAUUACAGCUGUA